CCUACGGGAGGCAGCAGUGGGGAAUAUUGGACAAUGGGGGGAACCCUGAUCCAGCCAUGCCGCGUGUGUGAAGAAGGCCCUCGGGUUGUAAAGCACUUUCAGUGAGGAAGAACGCCUGGUGGUUAAUACCCAUCAGGAAAGACAUCACUCACAGAAGAAGCACCGGCUAACUCCGUGCCAGCAGCCGCGGUAAUACGGAGGGUGCGAGCGUUAAUCGGAAUUACUGGGCGUAAAGCGCGCGUAGGUGGCUUGAUAAGCCGGUUGUGAAAGCCCCGGGCUCAACCUGGGAACGGCAUCCGGAACUGUCAAGCUAGAGUGCAGGAGAGGAAGGCAGAAUUCCCGGUGUAGCGGUGAAAUGCGUAGAGAUCGGGAGGAAUACCAGUGGCGAAGGCGGCCUUCUGGACUGACACUGACACUGAGGUGCGAAAGCGUGGGUAGCAAACAGGAUUAGAUACCCCAGUAGUC
rnacentral:rRNA from 1 species